UACAGAGGGUGCAAGCGUUGUCCGGAAUUACUGGGCGUAAAGGGCUCGUAGGUGGCCAACUAAGUCGGACGUGAAAUCCCUCAGCUUAACUGGGGAACUGCGUCCGAUACUGGAUGGCUUGAGUUUGGGAGAGGGAUGCGGAAUUCCAGGUGUAGCGGUGAAAUGCGUAGAUAUCUGGAGGAACACCGGUGGCGAAGGCGGCAUCCUGGACCAAUACUGACGCUGAGGAGCGAAAGCCAGGGGAGCAAACGGG
rnacentral:rRNA from 1 species